rnacentral:rRNA from 1 species
GACGAACCGUGCGAACGUUGUUCGGAAUCACUGGGCUUAAAGGGCGCGUAGGCGGGUCACCAAGUCCGGGGUGAAAUCUUUCGGCUUAACCGGAAAACAGCCUUGGAUACUGGUGACCUCGAGGGAGGUAGGGGUCUGCGGAACUUCUGGUGGAGCGGUGAAAUGCGUUGAUAUCAGAAGGAACGCCGGUGGCGAAAGCGGCGGACUGGACCUUCACUGACGCUGAGGCGCGAAAGCGUGGGGAGCGAACAGG